GGGUCGUCCCUUGCCCUCACUUUUAACUCAACAUUUGUGGGCUUUGGCCCCAAGGGAGGAAGGUGUGCAGUUGGUACUGUACUGGGGCCCCACAAGCUCUGGGAACCAUGUCUAACAAAUAGAGGCUCCUAGGACCUCUUGGGGGUGGAAAGGCUUAGCAUUUCAUUCGUACCUGUAGUACAGCAUGGGCACCUGCCUCCCCACGGCCUGGGCCAUCCAGUGGGAUGGUGGUGGGACUCAGGGAUGGAGCAGCUUCUCUGUGUGUGCUGGGGGAAUGUGAGCUCAGCCAGAACAGAGGCACUAUUUCAGGUGGCCAAGGAAGAAGGACAGGGAAAGAUAGGAACGAACCAGAUGGAACCUAACAUGUCCUAGGCACUGGGGAAGGGCUUUCCUAUCCUUUAUAGCUCACAUUGGCCCUAUCCCCACUUUAUAGAUAUUCUCUCCAUUUUAUAGGUGAGGAGAGCAAUGUCAAGGGCCGGCUGAAGGCCUGUGUCUGUGAUAAGCCUUGCGAGGAAUAGGGAACACGUAGAGUACAGGUCAGCAACUUUAUUAGUCGGCAUCUACCACGUGCCAGGAACCAGGCUGUGAUGAGGAAGACCGUUCUUGUCUCAUAUAAUUCCAGAAGGGAGCAGAUGAAGCUGGUGGUUAGAACCCUGGGAUGUCAGGGCUGGAAAUUUCUCAGGCACCUUCUAGAAGCCCAACUUCACCGAACAGAUGAGCAACUGAGGCCCACAGACAAAAAGCGGCUUCCCCAAGCCACAUGGCAAGUCUUCUUCCUUUGCCUCUCAAUGUUGCUUCUCUAGGAAGUCUGCUCUCCUUCUAGGCUCCCCUGUUUAGAAGUUGAUUUUUAUUCUCCCACUUAAACAAUUAAGCUUUAAUACACCAAAAACAGAUCACUAUCCUCCUAAGGUUUAAAAAGCAAGAUUACUCUUUGUAACACGAGCAAUUAGCUACCUUCUGGUGUUUCCAUACUUCUCUCUCCCCCAAAGGAUUGAGAUUUGGGGGGUUGCAGAAGACCCAGCAAGUAGGGAUGCCGGCCGAAGCUGCUGCCCUGAGCAGGCAACGGGGAUGCUAGGGUCUUGGAGCUGGAAAUGCUCCAGGAGGGGAGGGAAGGGUCCUGAGGCUGGUGGUGGGAGACCGUGCAGAUGUGGAGAGCUCCUCUUUAGGGGUGCCGACUUGGCUCUGCCAGCACUGGAACGUUCCCUUCAAUGCUGCUGCCUGAGCUGCAUCACUGCACUGGUGGAGUAAGGAUGGCUACCCACCUCCCGGGAUGACGGUUGUGUGAAUCAGCUGUAGCAGCAUAUGUGAGCUCUUCCUACAGAGGACCUCGAAGGGCUCUCUGAGCCCUCUGCACUGAGAUGGAACACUUGGAUGUUUUUUCAUAGUUCUGGAAAAAGGAUCCCUACAUUUCAUCAGAUCUUUUUUUUUUUUUAAUGGCAGAAAGAAGGAAGAUUGAUUUUUAUGUUUAUUCGGUGAUGAAAUAUACACAAAGAGGAAUAUACAAAGUGUACCCUAUAAUGGAAAGAAUAAUGGAACGACUGUUGUGUACCAAUCCUCUCCUUUGAGAAACACUGGCCUGGCACGUCACUGGUGCUCAACAAACAUUCCUUGAAGCAGAAGUGAAAAAGUAGAUGCAACCUGUGAAGGGAUAAGACCGUGCUUUCCUCAGCCCAGCCUCAGCCCUGGUUCCCAUGGCAACCACCUCCUUAGGCCCAGGAUGGCCUGACCUGAGUCUCUGAGCAUGAUGGACAGGCCAAGAGGCUUCCCUGGCGGCUCAGGAGCAGGAAAUGGGGACUCCAUCUGUUACCAUGACAGGCUCUGCAUGUCCCAUCAGGUGUCCCUUGGAGAAACACAUCGUCUGUCAUCUGCAGAGUGACAGUAAUGAAGGACCCAGGAUAAGGCGUCCUAGCUUGUAGCAGGCUGCCUCCAUCCUUUCCUGAGCUACGAAGUGGCUGCAUUUUUGUGAAGGACCAGAGGAUUGUGUUAUGGGGGCCACCACAGGCACGUGCUAGACCCAGAUCCCAAGCCCUGGGCUUUGCGGGGCCAGAGGGCAGUGGGAAUGAGAGAAGUGGGCAGGGCAGAGUUCCUGGUCAGCCGGGAGAGCCCUGCCCUGCCUGGAGGGGGCGCCAUGCUCAGCACCAGCCAGUGUAGCCCUGUGGGAACAGGCACCCGAGAGAGCCAGAGCUUCCAAUUUGUACGUGAAUCUCCUGAUUUUGAAAAAUUGGUUCCAAAAUUUUUAACAUAGGCGAGAGCCAUAUAUCAGUCAUGGGUGAAAUAAACAGCGUUGAAUGUCA